rnacentral:tmRNA from 7 species
GGGGGCGAUCUUGGCAUUCGACGGAAGUCUUAUGUGCGGAGAUUGCAUGCCGAGGAUUCUGGUUGGCCUCGUUAAUCAUCCAGAAAAAAACAAACGGCGAAGAAUACUCUUACGCCAUGGCUGCCUAAUAUAGCGUAGCCCGUCCUUUUUGCUUGCUCUGUCCGCGGCGGGCUUAAAGGGCGUCAUCAAUGCGGACUGGCCCUGCGAUGGCGCUGCAGCGUCGCAGGGCGAGAAAUACUGCGGCUGGUGUAACCGGUACCCUGUCCUUCGGGAACGGCGGCACGAGAAACAAUGAAGGAAAAAGCAUGUAGGAGUUUCUGUUCAGGGGUUUUCGGACGCGGGUUCGAUUCCCGCCGCCUCCAUAA